rnacentral:rRNA from 1 species
ACAUCUGAAGGAGAUUAAAGAUUUAUCGGUGAUGGAUGGGGAUGCGUCUGAUUAGCUUGUUGGCGGGGUAACGGCCCACCAAGGCGACGAUCAGUAGGGGUUCUGAGAGGAAGGUCCCCCACAUUGGAACUGAGACACGGUCCAAACUCCUACGGGAGGCAGCAGUGAGGAAUAUUGGUCAAUGGGCGAGAGCCUGAACCAGCCAAGUAGCGUGCAGGAUGACGGCCCUAUGGGUUGUAAACUGCUUUUAUAAGGGAAUAAAGUGAGCCUCGUGAGGCUUUUUGCAUGUACCUUAUGAAUAAGGACCGGCUAAUUCCGUGCCCGCAGCCGCGGUAAUACGGAAGGUCCGGGCGUUAUCCGGAUUUAUUGGGUUUAAAGGGAGCGUAGGCCGGAGAUUAAGCGUGUUGUGAAAUGUAGAUGCUCAACGUCUGCACUGCAGCGCGAACUGGUUUCCUUGAGUACGCACAAAGUGGGCGGAAUUCGUGGUGUAGCGGUGAAAUGCUUAGAUAUCACGAAGAACUCCGAUUGCGAAGGCAGCUCACUGGAGCGCAACUGACGCUGAAGCUCGAAAGUGCGGGUAUCGAACAGGAUUAGAUACCCUGGUAGUCCGCACGGUAAACGAUGGAUGCCCGCUGUUGGUCUGAAUAGGUCAGCGGCCAAGCGAAAGCAUUAAGCAUCCCACCUGGGGAGUAC